GACGAACGCUGGCGGCGUGCUUAACACAUGCAAGUCGUACGGUAAGGCCCUUUCGGGGGUACACGAGUGGCGAACGGGUGAGUAACACGUGAGUAACCUGCCCACAACUUUGGGAUAACGCUAGGAAACUGGUGCUAAUACUGGAUAUGUGCUCCUGCUGCAUGGUGGGGGUUGGAAAGCUCCGGCGGUUGUGGAUGGACUCGCGGCCUAUCAGCUUGUUGGUGGGGUAGUGGCCUACCAAGGCGGCGACGGGUAGCCGGCCUGAGAGGGUGACCGGCCACCUUGGGACUGAGAUACGGCCCAGACUCCUACGGGAGGCAGCAGUGGGGAAUAUUGCACAAUGGGCGCAAGCCUGAUGCAGCAACGCCGCGUGCGGGAUGACGGCCUUCGGGUUGUAAACCGCUUUCAGCAGGGACGAAGCUUUUUGUGACGGUACCUGCAGAAGUAGCACCGGCUAACUACGUG
rnacentral:rRNA from 1 species